AUACUUUGGUUUCUCUUCAAAGCGUAUAAAUCUUUCGCCUUUUACUAAAGAUUUCCGUGGAGAGAAACAACAGAAGGCCUUCUUUGCCUCAGUUUUCAACAGUAAG